rnacentral:tRNA from 1 species
CGGGGUGUAGUAUAACGGUAGUAUGCAGGUUUCGGGAAUCUGCGGCCUGAGUUCAACUCUCAGCACCCCGA